rnacentral:rRNA from 1 species
UGGGGAAUUUUGGACAAUGGGGGCAACCCUGAUCCAGCAAUGCCGCGUGUGUGAAGAAGGCCUUCGGGUUGUAAAGCACUUUUGUCCGGGAAGAAAUCCCCUGCCCUAAUACGGCGGGGGGAUGACGGUACCGGAAGAAUAAGCACCGGCUAACUACGUGCCAGCAGCCGCGGUAAUACGUAGGGUGCGAGCGUUAAUCGGAAUUACUGGGCGUAAAGCGUGCGCAGGCGGUGAUGUAAGACCGAUGUGAAAUCCCCGGGCUCAACCUGGGAACUGCAUUGGUGACUGCAUUGCUCGAGUAUGGCAGAGGGGGGUGGAAUUCCACGUGUAGCAGUGAAAUGCGUAGAGAUGUGGAGGAACACCGAUGGCGAAGGCAGCCCCCUGGGCCAAUACUGACGCUCAUGCACGAAAGCGUGGGGAGCAAACAGGAUUAGAUACUCUGGUAGUCCACGCCCUAAACGAUGUCAACUGGUUGUCGGGCCUUCAUUGGCUUGGUAACGUAGCUAACGCGUGAAGUUGACCGCCUGGGGAGUACGGUCGCAAGAUUAAAACUCAAAUGAAUUGACGGGGUCAU